rnacentral:miRNA from 1 species
UAGUUGGGUUGUUGAUGAUGAUGAUGGUUGAGUUACUUGUACAUCUCUUAAGCGAUGUACAAGUAACUCAACCAUCAUCGUCAUCAUCAUCA